GACAUCUCACCAGCAUCGACAGUGUGCAGUGACGGUCAGUGUGAUGAGCUUACCUGAGCCACUGAGAGGAGGUGCAUGGCCGCCGUCAGCUCGUACCGUGAGGCGUCCUGUUAAGUCAGGCAACGAGCGAGACCCGCACCCUUAAUUGCCAGCAACACCCUUGUGGUGGUUGGGUACAUUAAGAGGACUGCCAGUGCCAAACUGGAGGAAGGAACGGGCAACGGUAGGUCAGUAUGCCCCGAAUGUGCUGGGCGACACGCGGGCUACAAUGGUCGAGACAGUGGGAUGCAACGCCGAAAGGCGACGCUAAUCUCCGAAACUCGAUCGUAGUUCGGAUUGAGGGCUGAAACUCGCCCUCAUGAAGCUGGAUUCGGUAGUAAUCGCGCCUCAGAAGGGCGCGGUGAAUACGUCCCUGCUCC
rnacentral:rRNA from 1 species